UUAUUAAUAUCAGCUUACAGGGAACUAUGAAGAACUUGAUGGUUCUUGUCCUUUGUUUGGUCAGUGCUGUUUACUAAAAUCCAUACACAAAUAUUGGACACUAUAGAGGUUAUGUUGGAUGUUUCAUCGACGACUACAAUAGAUUGUUAAAGCAUAGGAUAAAACCCUUACAUCAGAUUACAUUAGAGAAAUGCAGACAUCACUGCAGGGGAUACAGAUAUCUUGGGUUACAGUAUCGUGAUUGGUGCCUUUGUGGAAACUACCUUCACACACCUGGCUAUCCCCAAGCAUCGGAACUGCAAUGCAACAUGCCUUGCUCGGGGGAAAUUUCUAGAAUGUGUGGCGCAGGCUAUAGAAAUUCCAUCUAUGAAGUGAUAAUGCAAGAAAGCUGUGAAUGAAUUUAACAGAGACUAUUAAAGAUCUAUCAGUCACCAACACCAAAUCCCUACACGAGAAGAUUUGUUUUAAUACAGUAUAUAUACCUAGAGAAUUUUAUUUCCGAAAGGUUAUAUAGUAUGUAUACUAAUAAUAAAUGUGAUGAGUGCAAUAAGUGUUCCUAUGAUUAACAUCAUCAGAUAUGCACAAUGUGUUAACGCCAAAAGUUUGGAAAGUCAAAUAGUACUUAUGCUCAAUUUGAAUUUAAGGUUAAAAAAGAAAAGAAAAGAAAUCAUGAUAGAAAAGCUCUGGAAUAUCGUAUCAACUGGAGAUCUAUACUCCAUAUGCAGGCGCUGUUCGAAUUUUGCUUCUCAGAAAUGGAAUAUGUUUUGGCGUUAGCACAUCAUGCAUAUAACGAUGUGAGGAUAAUAAAUCGAAUGCAAUUAUCUAUUGUUUUUUUUAGUUUUACUAUUGAUAAAGGCAGUAUUUUUUUCUACAAACAAUGAUGUAUAACUAAAAUUGCGUUUAGAUAGCAAUUGUAUUUCAUAUUUUUAUUCUUUUUUUUAAGUUUGAUGUCAUCUUCUUAAGUGGCAACGGCAGAAUAUAACAGCUGACAUGCAUCGUCGUAAAUAAAAAAAAAUAUAAAUUUAUAAAA